rnacentral:snRNA from 2 species
GGAUGUGAGGGCGAUCUGGCUGCGACAUCUGUCACCCCAUUGAUCGCCAGCGUUGAUUCGGCUGAUCUGGCUGGCUAAGCGGGUGUCCCCUUCCUCCCUCACCGCUCCAUGUGCAUCCCUCCCGAAGCUGCGUGCUCGGUGGAAGAGGACGACCAUCCCUGAUAGAGGAGGACCGUUCUUCGGUCAAGGGUAUACAAGUAGCUGCGCUCCCCUGCUAGAACCUCCAAACAAGCUCUCAAAAUUGGUACUUUAAAAAAAUUUUUAUUUUAAUUAAAUUCAAUUAAUUAACAUACAGUGUAUUAUUAGUUU